CCAAAGGAUUUUCUUAAAUCCACUUAAUAUUUAUUAAUUCUCGUAC
rfam:Opisthocomus hoazin contig1543, whole genome shotgun sequence.